rnacentral:rRNA from 1 species
ACUCCUACGGGAGGCAGCAGUGGGGAAUAUUGCACAAUGGGGGGCAAACCCUUGAUGCAGCCAUGCCGCGUGUGUGAAGAAGGCCUUCGGGUUGUAAAGGCACUUUCAGUAGGGAGGAAGGUAGUGUAGUUAACACCUGCAUUAUUUGACGUUACCUACAGAAGAAGCACCCGGCUAACUCCGUGCCAGCAGCCGCGGUAAUACGGAGGGUGCGAGCGUUAAUCGGAA